GUGAAACCGGGCCGCUGGAUCCAGACCAGAACAUCAGAACCCGGUACCAGACCAGAACCAGCUGGAGACUCUCCUUCAGUCUGUGUCCGGUCUCCAUGGCAACCACUGCUGGACCAAGCCAUGGUGGCUUCAGCGACUGACGUCAGGGUUUCGCUCAGCAUGUUGGAUGAAGCUUUAUGAACAAACCCAAACAAAAAUAUUGUCACCUGGAUGGAUGUUAGCUGGAUUCAGGCGCACUGCCAUGGAGACGCUCCACUAGUUCUCCUGCUGCAGACCAGUGGAGGUUAAAGGUCACCUUCCUCAGCUCAUGAAGCAUCAGCAGCGACUCAGAGCGCUGACAUGUUGUCCAGGAUCGCGGCUCGCCGCUCCGUCCUGUAAUCUGACUUCCUGCCUCCUCUGCGUGACGCCGCGCUGGCUCUGAACGCAGCAGGACUGUUCGCCUGGGAACGUCCCGUAGCAACCUCCAACAGCUCACAGCCAGCCGGUGAAAAAGUCCGGCCGGUUCUGACCCAGUUAACACAGAGAAGAUCUGCUGGGGGUUCAGCACCUUCAGGACAGCUAACGGAGGAAGCCAUCAACUGUUGCUCUGGAAACCAGUUUCAGCACCAAAAUUCAGACUCCUGUCCAGUCGGCCACUUCGUUUCUCCAGGAUGUUAUAUCCACUGAAGCUAGCUACUGAUCUGACUGAGGAGACCAACCAGCUCUGGAAAAUGAGAAGAACGCUACUAGCUAGCAUUAGCUUUGGGUAGGCUAUGCUAGCAUGCCUUGGUUGGUAAACCAAUGGAUCGCCUAUUUCCUCCACUGUCCAUUAGCACAGAUAGGCUAGCAUUAGCAUUGGUUAUGGUAAUGUUAGAAACAAAACACAUUUAUCAUUGAUAUGCAGAAUCUGUAACAUCACAUAUCAGCUGCCUUGAUGACAGUUUACUGUAAUCCAACGUGACACGAAGCAUAAACAUGAUGUAUAAAACGGAGCUGAAGUUGGCUUCUGAUUGGGAAAAUAAUGUUUCACAACCUUAAGUUAUGAAAAAUUAAUUUCUACUCAUUUAUUGUGAUUAUGAUCACAACCAAUUAUCUUUAACUGUUCCAGUUUACAAACUUCAACUCUCAGACUCCUCAAACAUAAACUAUUAUAUUAUUCUACACUAAAAACAGAAUAUUUAUAGCCUAGCUUGUGAUUGAUGAAACGUUUAUUUGAUCAGUGAAAGUUCAAUACAGAAUGUUAUUAGCAUGUUCCACAAAAAACAAACCAGGUUAAAAUAUUCUGCUUUUAGUGUUGAAUAAAGAAAAAAAGUCAGUUACGACAGGCCAGACUAGACAUGCUAGUUGUUAGCCUGUUCAAGGCUAACAUUAGCCCAGGCAGUGCUAAUGCUAGGUUAUCCAAAUAUAAAGCUAGCAUGUCUAUGCUAAUAGUCAGCAGAGUAAGUAGGCAAUCCAGCAUGCCUUCCUUGGUUUGCUAGUCAUUAGCCUAUCCAAUGCUAAUGCUAGUCAUUAGCGUCCUUCUCAUUGGCCAGCGCCGGUUGUUCAGUUUCUGCCGGCCAAUCAUUGAUCAGGUCAGUAGCAUCAGAGCGGAUAAGGACGUUGGUGACCCCAGACUGUUCCUGGAUCGUUGGCGGACGUUUGGUUCCGACUGUCUGGUUCUGGGCAGAUGUGAGAGGAAGUCCGGUCCUCCGGAGGGGAACCGACCACACCGGACCGGACCAGAACCAGGACGUUUCUGUGGAGGCGGAGAUCCCAGGCAUCAGGAGUUCUCAUCACAGAAAUCAUCUCUGCUCCAGUCAGAGAACCAGAACAGGUCCUGGAGGCGGUUUGGACCCAAACCGUGCUGCAGAAGAACUUCAUCAGAACCUGAUUUUAUUUUUCAGAAAUUUGACAAAUUAACCUGAAACUGAAGCUAUUUAUGACCUUCUGAGGAUAUUUAAAGUGUGAUAUUUAUUAUUAUUCCCCUGGUUUGUGUCCAGAUUAACAACGUUUUGCUACAACCUGCUUCUGCCUUCUGAAUUUAGAAAGUUUAUAAAUGUUAUAAAAUGUUUUAUUCAGAACAUAAACAGAAAAUCUCAGGCAGCGUUUCCUGAGCUGCAGCUUCACUUCGUAUUCAGCUGCUGCUUCCAGCGUCUGAACGUCCAGAUGGUUUCACCGCCGCAGGAAAUGAAGAGGCAGCCUUCAUCCUCCUCUUCCUCACUGGAUCUGUGGCUGGUUCACAGGCCUUUGACUAGGCAGGAAGUUGAAUCUCUGGAAGCUCAGAGGUGACGAUUCGUCUCGAUCCAGAAUCAGUAAAUCUGAAGCUGGAAGCUUCGGCUUUAUGAUGAAUCUUCGUUCUUCUUCCUGUUUACAUUAUUAAAAUUGGAAACCAAAGUUCACUCAGGGAUUUUAGUGAAAAUAAAAACAUUUAGCGACGGACGGUCAUGACGGGUGAAAUGAUUUCUGAGACAUCAAAACGAGAACGGCAGCGACUCCAUCCCAACAUUUAAUUUAUCGAUCUCAUCCCAAUUAUCUCAGUACAUAAAAUAAAUAAUAAUCAGGAGGAAAUGUGACGUUAAAAUCUGUUUUCACCUAAAAGAGGCAUUUUAAUGUAUUGUUUUCUGAAGGUGCCUGUUUCUACAUAUUAGUAUCACUUUAAGACAAAAAACUGAAAAAUGUUUGCUUGCUCUGUUUUUCCCUAAAAUAAACGGCUUUCUAAAGAUUUUUACUUUGUUAUUUGAAGUUUAAACCUGGACUUCUUCACAAGAA